CUCAGCUGUGCUAGACUGUGUUAAACUGCUGAAGCUUUGUUGGGUUCAUGUGGUUCAGUUGAGGUGGUUCAGCUGUUCGGUUUUGGCUCAGUUAAGGCUAAAUAUGUUAAAGUGCUAUAAUAAUUAAUAGCUUCAUUACUGUCCAUGUGCUUGAAUCAGGGUGUCACUCUAGCACGGUGUAAAUGAGCUGGGCGCUGAUGAACUGGCCUUAAUUAGACACUCACACACAUACACAAAUACUGCACAAGUCACAGCUACAAAAUGCUUUAAUUAGCAUGAUAAUGAUCUGUCAUUUAGAAACCCAACCCUCUUAACGCACACACAGCGCUGGUAUGCUCUUAAUGUGUGUGUGUUGAAGUACUUCUUGCCCUCACAUGCUCCAGCGCUGCACUGCUCACGCUGUUCGCUGGCUUUCCCUUUCCAAACCCUCGUUUUCUUGUGCUUUCUCCAUCUGUGAGUCAUUCUUGAGAGCGUUCUGUCAUCUUUGCUACUGCCCAAAGCAGUGUCUGCAGAAGAGAGAGAUGAGAAGAGAAGGAAUGAGAGAAAAGAAUAGACAACAGAUAGAAAAUUAUAAGAGGUCAAGAUUAAACAUGCUUCUUAUUGGCUGAUUGGAUGACAGCAUGUCACCCAACCUACCCAUCUGGUUAAUUCUGCCAAGCAAAAGAUGAAACCGCACCAAAAAUACUGCAGAGAUUGAUUCAGUGCACGACUUUUGACAUGAACAACAAGAUAAGAGUGGUGUAUCUAUGGCCUCUAGCAGGGGAUAAGUGGGCCAUGCUAACCAGCUAAUCCCUGACCCCUACAGGUCAGCACAGUGAUGUCAUGAACUGAUUCCAGAUCAGAUGCAACUGGCUGUGGGAAGGACUGACUGCAGGUCAGCGUGGAAAAAUAGGAAGGUUCGGGGGAAUAAACUUAAACUGGUGCAAUCCCACAGACGUCCUGGGUGAGUUUAUUCCCUUAAGCGCAGUGUGGAAAAUUUGCGUGUCAAGCUGUGUUUUCCAGCACAUGAAUCCACACACACACACAGUUUAAUCCUGCGCAGUGGGGAUUGCCGUCUGGAGAUUGUACCGCGUCCAAGACUGAGUCGCCGCUUGCUGACCUUCUCACACACACUUCUAUACAUCCGUUCUAAGGCGGUGUGUGUGCAGCGUACAGCUUUGAUCCCCAGCUGAAGGGUACUUACAGGCCAAAUUUCCAAAUGCGUAAGAGUCAGCCCUCCCACUGGAGAGAGAGCGAGAGAGACAGAAUGAAUUCUUACACGGCUCUGGGAAUUGGGUCUCGGCGGCAGGAGCUAUUAAUAUAUCGCUGCGGCCCCCGAGAGAGAGACGGCGAGGUAGACAGAAAGACAAUCAGAUAAAGCCAGCGAUAGAAAGAGAGAGAAACAGAGAGGAAGAGAAACUGAGAGACAGACAGGUAGUUCAGACAGAGAAAAAGAGUGGUAGAAAGAUAGACAGGCAAAGAGAUACCAAACAGAUAGAGUGAAAGAAUGAUUACAGAAGGAUAGACAGAGACAUAGACACAGAGAGAGAAAGACCUAUACUGUCCACCACAGUGAUCCUUAGUAUGUCUGUGUGUUUCUAUGUAAGUUAAAGAUGUUAUAAUGUGUUACAGUUUAAUACUUCUAAGAUGUUACAAUAUUCCAUUCUAUUACUGUGAUGUUCAUUUAAAUAUUAUUAUUGUUAUAUUAUUAUUUUUAUCUUUUUGUACAUGUAUACUUAGAUGCAAAGAAAGCAAUAGAAAC
ensembl:lncRNA